AUUGAACGCUGGCGGCAGGCCUAACACAUGCAAGUUCGAGCGGUAACAGGGGAAGCUUGCUUCCCGCUGACGAGCGGCGGACGGGUGAGCAAUGUAUGGGGAUCUGCCCGAUAGAGGGGGAUAACCACUGGAAACGGUGGCUAAUACCGCAUAAUCUCUUAGGAGCAAAGCAGGGGAACUUCGGUCCUUGCGCUAUCGGAUGAACCCAUAUGGGAUUAGCUAGUAGGUGGGGUAAUGGCUCACCUAGGCGACGAUCCCUAGCUGGUCUGAGAGGAUGAUCAGCCACACUGGGACUGAGACACGGCCCAGACUCCUACGGGAGGCAGCAGUGGGGAAUAUUGCACAAUGGGC
rnacentral:rRNA from 1 species